AGUUCGGGACGUUCAGAUUGUUGUUAAUUUAUCUUAGUGGUGACUCGUAUACAACGCUGUUCCUAGAGAUCUAGCUACCAAUACACAAUUGUAUCCACAGUAGCCUAACACGUGUUUGAAGUUUCAGAAAUUAGCGGGUGGUUGCUGCUGGUAACAAACACGAGUAAAAUACGCGGAUAUGCUGGUGCAUUUAACCAAUUCGGUCCAUCACAGAAAGAAAGAGGAUGUUUUCGUAGUUUUUAAUGAGCAAAUUAUACUCCUCGCGUAUCUACAAGAAAUGCCAGGUGGCACUGCAUGGCUGUGAAUGUCAGCGGUGUUCUUGUGUGCAGACAUUGCUGCCUGAAAGUUUCCAUGUGGCUGUGCCCGUGACCGUGCCCGUCACGUUGCCCAUGGCAACGCCUGGGACGAUGGCCAUGACCGGAUACGUAAACCGCGCCCAUGGCAAUCCUAUGGAACCCUGUCUACACUC